rnacentral:tRNA from 1 species
GCCUGGGUGGCUCAGUUGGUUGAGCAUCCGACUUCAGCUCGGGUCAUGAUCUCACGGUUCGUGAGUUCGAGCCCCGCGUCGGGCU